rnacentral:snRNA from 1 species
AAGACUUGGCAAAUCGUCCGAGG